AAACAUUUCUGAGGGGAAAAUGUUUUUGGUAUAACCUGCUCAAUGCUUUUUGUAAAUAGCUGCAGUAUUUUGACUGUACAAAGGUAGCAUAAUCAUUAGUCUUUUGAUUGGAGGCUUGUAUGAAUGGUUGAACAGAAAAUUAACUUUUUUAGUUGCACGAAGUUUUAAUUUGUAGUUUAUGUAAAAAUGCAUAAUUAUUUAAAAGGGACGAUAAGACCCUAUAGAAUUUAAAAAUAAUUUUGAAGAUAAAUUUUUUUGUUGGGGUGACAAUAAAUAAACUUUUAUAAUACUUUCAUUGAUGAGUGGUUUAAUGAUCCUGUAUUUUAGAUAAAAAGAUAAAAUUACCUUAGGGAUAACAGCAUAAUUUUUUUUAAAAGAUCUUAUUAGUAAAAAAGAUUAUGACCUCGAUGUUGAAUUAAAAUAAGAUUUUGGUGUAGAAGCUAAAUUC
rnacentral:rRNA from 1 species